UGGUAAAUCUUCUGGGGAUGCUGCGUGGCACAAGGGAAGCCAUGCAUCUCUGAGAAGCCGAGGAGUGCCAUUAUCCUAAAUCAUUUGUCUGAGAUCAGAGGAGGUGAGUGGCAGACCAGGGCUUGAAGCCAUGCCAGCGCUCUAAUCUCUGCCAUGUCCCUGCCUUCUGUUUAAUGUCUUUGUGAGUCGUUAGAAAAGCCUUCAGAGCACUGCCUUGCUGGGGAGGAUCUUUUUGUUGUCUAAUGUGCAAAUAUUCAGCACCAAGACACCUGCUUCUGCUCAGUGCCACAAAACCUAAAGUGUUCUGCUUGUAAAUGUGUGGAGAUGGAAAGCAGUGAAGUCAACUGACUGUAAACACCUGUUCAAUGGUGUGGUUGUGUUGUGGUGUCGUGGAAAAUAUUGAGAAGUUUCCCUCAACAAGUUGUCCAGCUACUACCUGUCCUUUUUGUACUGGUGGUGAAUUUACUAAUUCAGUCUAUGAAGGUUUAGGUCUGUACUUUUCCAUAACACUAAAUUCACAUGAACUGUUGCAAUGAGUUUGGAGGUGUGGGGGGAGAAAGAAGGAACAAAAAGGAACACUUCAGCUUCAGUCUUAUUCUUACAAGGGACUUAACAGCUGCUAGGAAGCUUUCUCAUGAUUUUCAAGUAGAUGAUUACUAUCUACCUUGCAGUAAACAUCUGACUUUAUCUAGGCAAUUGUGAAAUAACUUGACCAGCAUGAUGUACAGGCACCUAGAGACCUGACCUCUACAAAUGCAAUCUUUAAAGUUAAAUGUCAUCCUUUCCCCCAGCUUCUAUUCCAGCACUGUCAGCCUACCCUCUGCUUGGUCAUUUCCCUGCCUAGUCUUCAUUGAAAUAGUUCUUCGGCAAUGAGAGCCGCUUUGCUGAUUUAUGCUAAAUGAAGUUCUCUCUUUUAAACUCUGAAGUUUAUAAGAAAAAUCUUGUGAGCUUACCUUCUAUAUUAUCAUGGAUGAUGCCAUUCACCAGGUGGCACCAAUUGUGACAGUGAAUACUCAAGGGCUUGGCUGGGGCUGGGAAGCAGAAAGCCUCUUGCCUCCAGCCUUUUGUGAGCAGCCUGCCCAUCAGCAGGGAAGGGUAGAGUGGCUUCAAACAUCUUCCCUAUUUUUCCAGUGUCUUAUCUAAGCAGACUCAGGCUACUCAAAAUUUUAUAACCUUUCAAAAUCUUCUCUGUUGACGUAUGCUUAUAAGCCAGCCAUAAAGCAAGAGUUUCCCUUGUUUAACAGCCAGCAAACCAAGGUGUGAAACUAAGGACAUACAGUAGCAAGAGAGAUAAGAAGUGUGCCUCUUCUGCUGCAUUUAUCUUUAAUAAGAGGAUGCCUAAGAGCUUCGGCUUUCUGUUAUCUUUUGCUAAGAUUUACCAGGAGCAAGUAGUACUAAGCCUUUAACACUGUUGCUUUACAUACUAAAAAAAAAAAAGCUAAUUUUUGUUUCCAUUUUCACUCAGC